rnacentral:rRNA from 1 species
AGCGAACGCUGGCGGCAGGCCUAACACAUGCAAGUCGAACGAACCUUUCGGGGUUAGUGGCGGACGGGUGAGUAACACGUGGGAACGUGCCUUUAGGUUCGGAAUAACUCAGGGAAACUUGUGCUAAUACCGAAUGUGCCCUUCGGGGGAAAGAUUAAUCGCCUUUAGAGCGGCCCGCGUCUGAUUCGCUAGUUGGUUGAGGUAAUGGCUCACCAAGGCGACGUUCAGUAGCUGGUCUGAGAGGAUGAUCAGCCACAUUGGGACUGAGACACGGCCCAAACUCCUACGGGAGGCAGCAGUGGGGAGUCUUGCGCAAUGGGCGAAAGCCUGACGCAGCCAUGCCGGGUGAAUGAUGAAGGUCUUAGGAUUGUAAAAUUCUUUCACCGGGGACGAUAAUGACGGUACCCGGAGAAGAAGCCCCGGCUAACUUCGUG